rnacentral:lncRNA from 1 species
GAACAAUAAGCAUGUCUAAUCACAACAUAAUAGGCACACUAAAAACACUAUAUUUUUUUAUUGUUUUUCUUUUUAUCACAAAUAGCCUUUUUCUUAAAGACUCUUUUAUCACAAAUAGCCUUAACGUUACUCUCUUUUUAUUGCAAGUUCAAAUUGCAUUCUUUUAAAUAGAAAAUAUAAAAUAGAAACAAACACAAAAUACAAAUUCUAAACAAAGAAUGCCAAUGAGCAAGAAAUCUCAAGUGGCUCAAAACAAAGACAAACAAGAGCACCCCAAACAACAACACUAGUACGUAGUGAACAGCCGCAAAACAUACCAAAACAAAGACAAAUAAGAGCACCCCAAACAACAACACUAGUACGUAGUGAACAGCCGCAAAACAUACCAAAACAGCAAAAAAAAUCUCAGGACGCCUCAACAGAACUACUACCCCAUCGCACCAAAAGACACUAAGACACUCCAAUAAUUAUGAGGCAUAGGACACCUCCCCUGGGGCUGAACAGGUCUACCUGAACACACAAAGCCGAACAAAAAUCUUAUGAAGCACGGAUACAGAUACCGACACCGGACACAAACACGUUACUAAUUUAAAAAAAUCACAUAAUUAUGUGUAAUUAUAUAUGUCAGUGUCGUGUCAGUGUCGAACACAACGCGUGUCUAACAACGGGUCACGCCUAAUCCAAACAUGGUUCAUAAACUGAGUUUCAAUACCAGACCAUCUCCAUACCGCAAAACAAGACAUAACUAGGUUUAACAAUAGAUGGAAAACUCAUGGUAAUCAACUAAAGAACAUGUAAUCAACUAAACUCAUGGCAAUUACAUUCAAUUUCAAUUUCAAUUUCAAUUAAAGAACAACGGAUGGAAUUGGAAACCAGUGGCAAUCAACUAAGUUACUAAAGAUGGAAAACUCAUGGCAAUCAAUAAAGAACAUAUAAUCAUCAUAUCAGAAUCAUAAUUAAUUAAAGGAAAUUACAUUCAAUUUCACAUUACCUUACAAAUUACAACAAUUAGGGUUUGUUGUGGAGAGAGAUGAAGAUAGCUGAAUCUAAACAGAAGAUGGAGGAGGAUGCGAUGGUGAACCGAUGAUGGAUGGAGGGAGAGUGGUCGUAGUCGCAGCUCGCCGGCGGUGGUGUGGUUCGAUCCAGUCGAUUUGCUUGUGGUGGGAGAAGAAACGGAACGUGUUCUCAAAUGAAAGAGAAAGGGAAAGAGGAAAUGAAAAUAUUAAUGUUAAUCAAGGGGUAUUAUAUGAA